GGGUGCGACUAUACCAGCACUAUUGCACUGAAUCCCAUCAGAACUCCGCAGUGAAACGUGCUCGGGCGGGAGCAAUACUAACAUGGGUGACCUCUUGGGAAGUCCUCGUGUUGUACCCU
rfam:Citrus clementina cultivar Clemenules unplaced genomic scaffold scaffold_9, whole genome shotgun sequence.